UACGUAGGGGGCGAGCGUUGUCCGGAAUCAUUGGGCGUAAAGCGCGUGUAGGCGGCUCGAUAAGUCUGGUGUGAAAACUGGAGGCUCAACCUCCAGCUGUCAUUGGAUACUGUCGGGCUAGAGUCCGGAAGAGGAGAAUGGAAUUCCCGGUGUAGCGGUGAAAUGCGCAGAUAUCGGGAAGAACACCCGUGGCGAAGGCGGCUCUCUGGGACGGUACUGACGCUGAGACGCGAAAGCGUGGGGAGCGAACAGG
rnacentral:rRNA from 1 species